GACGAACCGAGCGACCGUUGUUCGGAAUCACUGGGCUUAAAAGGCGCGUAGGCGGGCUGCCAAGUUUGGGGUGAAAUCCUCCGGCUCAACCGGGGAAGUGCCUUGAAUACUGGCGGUCUGGAGGGAGGUAGGGGCGUGCGGAACUGUAGGUGGAGCGGUGAAAUGCGUUGAUAUCUACAGGAACUCCGGUGGCGAAGGCGGCACGCUGGACCUUUUCUGACGCUGAGGCGCGAAAGCCAGGGGAGCGAACGGG
rnacentral:rRNA from 1 species